rnacentral:rRNA from 1 species
UGGGGAAUUUUGGACAAUGGGCGAAAGCCUGAUCCAGCAAUGCCGCGUGUGUGAAGAAGGCCUUCGGGUUGUAAAGCACUUUUGUCCGGAAAGAAAUCCUUGGCUCUAAUACAGUCGGGGGAUGACGGUACCGGAAGAAUAAGCACCGGCUAACUACGUGCCAGCAGCCGCGGUAAUACGUAGGGUGCAAGCGUUAAUCGGAAUUACUGGGCGUAAAGCGUGCGCAGGCGGUUUGCUAAGACCGAUGUGAAAUCCCCGGGCUCAACCUGGGAACUGCAUUGGUGACUGGCAGGCUAGAGUAUGGCAGAGGGGGGUAGAAUUCCACGUGUAGCAGUGAAAUGCGUAGAGAUGUGGAGGAAUACCGAUGGCGAAGGCAGCCCCCUGGGCCAAUACUGACGCUCAUGCACGAAAGCGUGGGGAGCAAACAGGAUUAGAUACCCUGGUAGUCCACGCCCUAAACGAUGUUAACUAGUUGUUGGGGAUUCAUUUCCUUAGUAACGUAGCUAACGCGUGAAGUUGACCGCCUGGGGAGUACGGUCGCAAGAUUAAAACUUAAAUGAAUUGAC